rnacentral:rRNA from 1 species
UACGUAGGUGGCAAGCGUUGUCCGGAUUUAUUGGGCUUAAAGGGUGCGUAGGCGGCCUUGUAAGUCAGUGGUGAAAUCUCCCGGCUUAACCGGGAGGGUGGCAUUGAUACUGCAGGGCUUGAGUAAAGUUGAGGUUGGCGGAAUUGACGGUGUAGCGGUGAAAUGCUUAGAUAUCGUCAAGAACACCGAUAGUGAAGACAGCUAACUAAGCUUUAACUGACGCUGAGGCACGAAAGUGUGGGGAUCAAACAGG